rnacentral:rRNA from 1 species
AGAGUUUGAUCAUGGCUCAGAUUGAACGCUGGCGGCAGGCCUAACACAUGCAAGUCGAACGGUAACAGGAAACAGCUUGCUGUUUCGCUGACGAGUGGCGGACGGGUGAGUAAUGUCUGGGAAACUGCCUGAUGGAGGGGGAUAACUACUGGAAACGGUAGCUAAUACCGCAUAACGUCGCAAGACCAAAGAGGGGGACCUUCGGGCCUCUUGCCAUCGGAUGUGCCCAGAUGGGAUUAGCUUGUUGGUGGGGUAACGGCUCACCAAGGCGACGAUCCCUAGCUGGUCUGAGAGGAUGACCAGCCACACUGGAACUGAGACACGGUCCAGACUCCUACGGGAGGCAGCAGUGGGGAAUAUUGCACAAUGGGCGCAAGCCUGAUGCAGCCAUGCCGCGUGUAUGAAGAAGGCCUUCGGGUUGUAAAGUACUUUCAGCGGGGAGGAAGGGAGUAAAGUUAAUAUCUUUGCUCAUUGACGUUACCCGCAGAAGAAGCACCGGCUAACUCCGUGCCAGCAGCCGCGGUAAUACGGAGGGUGCAAGCGUUAAUCGGAAUUACUGGGCGUAAAGCGCACGCAGGCGGUUUGUUAAGUCAGAUGUGAAAUCCCCGGGCUCAACCUGGGAACUGCAUCUGAUACUGGCAAGCUUGAGUCUCGUAGAGGGGGGUAGAAUUCCAGGUGUAGCGGUGAAAUGCGUAGAGAUCUGGAGGAAUACCGGUGGCGAAGGCGGCCCCCUGGACGAAGACUGACGCUCAGGUGCGAAAGCGUGGGGAGCAAACAGGAUUAGAUACCCUGGUAGUCCACGCCGUAAACGAUGUCGACUUGGAGGUUGUGCCCUUGAGGCGUGGCUUCCGGAGCUAACGCGUUAAGUCGACCGCCUGGGGAGUACGGCCGCAAGGUUAAAACUCAAAUGAAUUGACGGGGGCCCGCACAAGCGGUGGAGCAUGUGGUUUAAUUCGAUGCAACGCGAAGAACCUUACCUGGUCUUGACAUCCACGGAAGUUUUCAGAGAUGAGAAUGUGCCUUCGGGAACCGUGAGACAGGUGCUGCAUGGCUGUCGUCAGCUCGUGUUGUGAAAUGUUGGGUUAAGUCCCGCAACGAGCGCAACCCUUAUCCUUUGUUGCCAGCGGUCCGGCCGGGAACUCAAAGGAGACUGCCAGUGAUAAACUGGAGGAAGGUGGGGAUGACGUCAAGUCAUCAUGGCCCUUACGACCAGGGCUACACACGUGCUACAAUGGCGCAUACAAAGAGAAGCGACCUCGCGAGAGCAAGCGGACCUCAUAAAGUGCGUCGUAGUCCGGAUUGGAGUCUGCAACUCGACUCCAUGAAGUCGGAAUCGCUAGUAAUCGUGGAUCAGAAUGCCACGGUGAAUACGUUCCCGGGCCUUGUACACACCGCCCGUCACACCAUGGGAGUGGGUUGCAAAAGAAGUAGGUAGCUUAACCUUCGGGAGGGCGCUUACCACUUUGUGAUUCAUGACUGGGGUGAAGUCGUAACAAGGUAACCGUAGGGGAACCUGCGGUUGGAUCACCU